ACUCCUACGGGAGGCAGCAGUAGGGAAUCUUCGGCAAUGGACGAAAGUCUGACCGAGCAACGCCGCGUGAGUGAAGAAGGUUUUCGGAUCGUAAAACUCUGUUGGUAGAGAAGAACGUUGGUGAGAGUGGAAAGCUCAUCAAGUGACGGUAACUACCCAGAAAGGGACGGCUAACUACGUGCCAGCAGCCGCGGUAAU
rnacentral:rRNA from 2 species